AAACACUUGGUUCAUUUCUUUUGUGGGAUAUUUGCAUGCUAUAGGGUGCAAGUGAAACAUGGAUUUUUAUUUUGAUAAUUGUAGUGAUUUUUCUGCACAAGAUGUUUCACCUAGUGGUAGGACACCUGAUCCAACCAACUACCCUCACAAUAUCAACCCACACGAACCAUGUUCAUAUUGCUUCGAUCCUUAUCAUAGUGCCAGUAAUUGUCCAUCUUGGGGACAAUUCUGCAAUCUUACUUGUGAGCAAAUGAACACCAAUUUCUCCAGCCCUGAGUUUGAUUCAAACUCCAAUUUUUACAACUUGGACUGGAGCAACCAUCCUGAUUUCUUGUGGCAAGCUCAAGCCAUUGGAAAUGUGCUCCCCAGUUUCAGGAACUGCACUAUCUUGAUUAUCCACAGUUCGAUAAUCAAUCUUCCCAUCCUUCAUCCUACAAUUAUCCAGCUUCUCCUUCACAGUCCACUUUGGAAGACACUCUCAAGGUCUUCAUGGAACUCACAGGCUAGGCUAUUAGUGAUGUGAAGAGUGCUACUAUAGAAAACACUCAAGCAAUUGCCAGGAUAGAAGGACGCUCGAAUAUCUGGUUGCUGAAGCCACCAGAAUAGAGGAAGAAGAGUUUCAGAGUCAGUUGAUGGCUGAAGGGCACUACAUGAUUGAUGAGGAUGAUGCUAGCCAUUCUUGUCAUGAGCAUGUCCCUACCAUCACCAUGUUUAAGAAUGAGGAAAUUGUGGAUAGCAAUGAGGAGAAAGAAAAGGAGAAGCACCUGGAGCACACAGCGCCCCCGCCAAAUCCAAAUACGUCCAAUGACAAGGAAAUGAGUAGUGAAGCUCAUUCCUUCAUCACCAUCCCUCUUGAGACAUUUCAUGAGCCCUGAGCUUCAAUUCUUAAAUGUCUCAAAGAGCCAUCUUAUGCCAAAACUGUCAAGGAUCUAUGCACACAACCGCGCAAAUCUAGGCACCAUCGUCCUAAGAAGAUCCUUCGAAGCAAGCAAGUUGGCUACAUAAAAUGGCGAAACAUUCCACCAGAGGAAUACCAUAUUUUCAAGAGGAAAGGGUGGAAGAGAUUGGUUGGACAUCCACAUGAUCGGAGAAGGCGCUGUAAAUUUUCUUUUCCCUUUUUACUUUCUGUACAUUUAAUUUCUUUCAUUUUUCAUUUAAUUUCUUGUUAUUUUACUUUUAUUUCUGAUAGCAAUUAACCUUUUGAUGUGUGUUUCUUGUGAGAAAAUAUUGCUGUUAGUUUUUGUUGAUAGGUGUUUUGGUGUUUAAGUUUGAGGGACGCCUUGACCUUUCACACCUCGAUGUUUUCGUAUUUCUGGUAAUGCAUUUCUACACUACACAUUGCGGACAAUGUGUAAUUCAAGUUUGGGGGGCAAUAAGAGAAAAAUGACAAUUUUCAAGGCCAAAAUACAUAGAAAAGCUGAAUUUUCGGAAGUGCUGAAAAAGUAGAUCGAUCGAUCGAAUUUUUGCGGGACAGAAACCCUAGCUAACUCUAUAAAUACGUCAUUUUCUCAUUUUCUCAACAUGAGGAGCCGCGGUAGAGACCGUUUGGGCGCCCCCAGGGGCCGAUUUCUCUCUAGUUUAGGGUUCUUGGGUGAUUUUCACCUAGAACAUCCUUCCUUUAACUAUGCCAACUAGACUAAGACCUCCAUCGCAUAAUGAGGUAGAGGAAUCCUCUGUGGGUGAUAGAGAUGGUAGUGACUCACCUCCACCUCCACCUCCACCUCUAUCUCCUCUUUCCUCCCUGUCGAGGAGACAGUUCUUUGGUAGUAGUUCCCGGCCCUUCGGAAUGAAGAAUGCCUUUGUGAGCCACUUCAGUGUCACGCAGUACACCAAGUGUGGGAAGCUAGACUCUAGGGUACGCUUUAAGGGAU